rnacentral:tRNA from 1 species
GGGGCGGUAGCUCAGUUGGUAGAGCAACGGCCUUUUAAGCCGUGGGUCAUGGGUUUAAGUCCCAUCCGCCUCACCA